rnacentral:rRNA from 1 species
UACGGAGGGUGCGAGCGUUGUCCGGAAUCACUGGGCGUAAAGGGCGCGUAGGCGGCCUGAUAAGUAGGGGGUGAAAUCCUGCGGCUUAACCGCAGGGCUGCCUUCUAAACUGUCGGGCUAGAGCACGGUAGAGGCAGAUGGAAUUCCCGGUGUAGCGGUGGAAUGCGUAGAGAUCGGGAAGAACAUCAGUGGCGAAGGCGACUUCCUGGCCUGUUCUUGACGCUGAGGCGCGAAAGCUAGGGGAGCAAACGGG